rnacentral:sRNA from 1 species
UGGGUUUAACAAAGGGUUUCUUACAGAGUUUAUUGGCAUUCUGUCCACCUCCCAUCUGUAGAAAUCUGUCUCUCUCACGAGCUCACAUGGAGGUGGGCAUACUGCCAACUGAGCUCUGUUGGUCUCUCUUUGUAAAACUCUC